rnacentral:rRNA from 1 species
UGGGGAAUAUUGCACAAUGGGGGAAACCCUGAUGCAGCGACGCCGCGUGAGCGAAGAAGGCUUUCGAGUCGUAAAGCUCUGUCCUAUGAGAAGAUAAUGACGGGAUCAUAGGAGGAAGCCCUGGCUAAAUACGUGCCAGCAGCCGCGGUAAUACGUAUGGGGCGAGCGUUGUCCGGAAUUAUUGGGCGUAAAGGGUACGUAGGCGGUUUUUUAAGUCAGGUGUCAAAGCGUGGAGCUUAACUCCAUUAAGCACUUGAUACUGAACGACUUGAGUGAAGGAGAGGAAAGUGGAAUUCCUAGUGUAGCGGUGAAAUGCGUAGAUAUUAGGAGGAAUACCGGUGGCGAAGGCGACUUUCUGGACUUUUACUGACGCUCAGGUACGAAAGCGUGGGGAGCAAACAGG